GUGGGGAAUAUUGGACAAUGGGCGCAAGCCUGAUCCAGCCAUACCGCGUGGGUGAAGAAGGCCUUCGGGUUGUAAAGCCCUUUUGUUGGGAAAGAAAUCCUGUCGGUUAAUACCUGGCGGGGAUGACGGUACCCAAAGAAUAAGCACCGGCUAACUUCGCGCCAGCAGCCGCGGUAAUACGAAGGGUGCAAGCGUUACUCGGAAUUACUGGGCGUAAAGCGUGCGUAGGUGGUGGUUUAAGUCCGUUGUGAAAGCCCUGGGCUCAACCUGGGAAUUGCAGUGGAUACUGGAUCACUAGAGUGUGGUAGAGGGAUGCGGAAUUUCUGGUGUAGCAGUGAAAUGCGUAGAGAUCAGAAGGAACAUCCGUGGCGAAGGCGGCAUCCUGGGCCAACACUGACACUGAGGCACGAAAGCGUGGGGAGCAAACAGGAUUAGAUACCCGUGUAGUCC
rnacentral:rRNA from 1 species